UUCCGGUUGAUCCUGCCGGAGGCUACCGCUAUUGGAGUUCGAUUAAGCCAUGCGAGUCCAGAGCUUUCGGAGCUCGGCGUACCGCUCAGUAACACGUGGGUAACCUAACCUAUGCAGGGGAAUAACCUCGGGAAACUGAGAAUAAUGCCCCAUAGUCCACUACGCCUGGAACGGUGAGUGGAUGAAAGCUCAGGCGGCAUAGGAUGGGCCUGCGGCGUAUCAGGUUGUAGGGGGUGUAAAGUACCCUCUAGCCCUCUACGCGUACGGGUGUUGGGAGACAUAGCCCGGAGAUGGAUUCUGAGACACGAAUCCAGACCCUACGGGGUGCAGCAGGCGCGAAAACUUGGCAAUGCGAGCAAUCGUGACCAGGGAACUCCAAGUGGCUGGGGUAAGACCCAGUCUUUUCAGAACUCUUCAAAGGUUUUAGAAUAAGGGGUGGGUAAGGACGGUGCCAGCCGCCGCGGUAAUACCGGCGCCUCAAGUGGUAGUCGCUUUUAUUGGGCCUAAAACGUCCGUAGCCGGUCUGAUACAUUCGUGGGUAAAUCAACCAGCUUAACUGGUUGAAUUCUGCGAGGACGGUCAGACUUGGGACCGGGAGAGGUGUGGGGUACGCUCAGGGUAGGGGUAAAAUCCUGUCAUCCUGAGCGGACCACCUGUUGCGAAGGCGCCACACUAGAACGGAUCCGACGGUCAGGGACGAAGCCUAGGGGCACGAACCGGAUUAGAUACCCGGGUAGUCCUAGGUGUAAACGCUGUGGACUUGAUGUUGGGGGUGCUCCGAGCACUCUCAGUGUCGAAGCGAAGGUGAUAAGUCCACUGCCUGGGAAGUACGGUCGCAAGGCUGAAACUUAAAGGAAUUGGCGGGGGAGCACCGCAACCUGAGGAUUGUGCGGUUUAAUUGGAGUCAACGCCGGA
rnacentral:rRNA from 1 species